rnacentral:rRNA from 1 species
AGUGAACGCUGGCGGCGUGGUUCAGACAUGCAAGUCGAGCGAGAAACCUCCUUCGGGAGGCGGACAGCGGCGAACGGGUGCGUAACACGUGAACAAUCUGCCCUUUAGUUCGGGAUAGCCCGUCGAAAGAUGGAUUAAUACCGAAUGUGGUCCCUCCUCGCAUGUGGAGGGCACUAAAGCUUGUAAUGGCGCUAAAGGAGGAGUUCGCGGCCUAUCAGCUUGUUGGUGAGGUAAAGGCUCACCAAGGCUAAGACGGGUAGCUGGUCUGAGAGGAUGAUCAGCCACACUGGGACUGAGAUACGGCCCAG